rnacentral:rRNA from 1 species
UACGUAGGCAGCAAGCGUUGUUCGGAAUUACUGGGCGUAAAGAGUGUGUAGGCGGUGCUCCAAGUCUGGUGUGAAAUCUCCCCGGCUUAACUGGGAGGGUGCAUUAGAAAACUGGAAUGCUAGAGGAUGGGAGAGGUAAGCGGAAUUCCUGGUGUAGCGGUGAAAUGCGUAGAUAUCAGGAGGAACACCUGUGGUGUAGACAGCUUACUGGACCAUUUCUGACGCUGAGACACGAAAGCGUGGGUAGCAAACAGG